GAACAGGAUACCUUGCCCGAGGAUUGUGUAGUUUUUGUUUUGGCUUGUAAGAAAAAAUAUACAUAAAAAAACCAAUCAAAUUGAUUUAUAAUAUAUAAUGUUACUGUCAGAAAACAAUAAUAAAUAAUUAUCAUAUAAUAUUAAAUUUCACACAAAACGCACCGUAUGGACGCACUAAUAUUAAAAUAAUUAAUAAUGUAUAAUAAUGAUAUUGGUAAAGGUAUAAUAUAAUAAUUUAUAGAAUAAUCACACACAAAAUGUUGGGGGUUGUCAUAGCAUAGGUAUGUUAUAUAAUUAUUAUGUAGGUAUUUACCAGUUCCCCUCUUCUCAGAGCAUUUAAAUAUUAACACAUUAUAAUAAUGACAAUAUAUUUUUAGCGAAUAAUAUACAACAUUAUUAGUACUACAAACUAAUAAGUAUAUUAAAGGGGUAAUAUAGUAAUUCAUUAUCAAUACGUAUAUUAUACCUAUCAUCUACAUGAUAUUUUAUUAAAUAGAUAAACAGGUAAAAACAUUGAAUUUACAAUUUCCGAAAAAAAGGAAAGAAAAAACAAUUCCUAACAUUAAUGUUUCUAACUAGAAUAACAUAUUAAUCGUCUCUACAAACACGCAACACACGUAUGUAAAAGCCCACACAAUGUAUAGUAAUAAUAUUAUAAUAAUAUCCCACUUGCAGUAAUACUGAAUUAAUUUUAUUACAGUACAUUUUUAUUAUUAUUUUUUUUUCAAAAAAGGAGUCGAUUAUUAUAUUAUUCCUUACACACGCAAAAGAUUCUUAAACCAAAAAUAAUGAAUAUUAUUAAGAUUAUCAACUAAUAGGGAGGUAUAACAUAGAAAGUGUAAUAUAUUACGAACGUGUAUAUUGUACCUACCUACCAAUUACAUUUGUUCAACACAAGUAGUUUACCAAUAUUUUGAUUUGACAAUGUGUAAACAAACAUAGGCAAAAAGUCUCAAUAUUAUUAACAAUAUUAACGAUAAGUAUGAAAUAUAAUUCACAUAACAAUAUAACUAAUACUAAAUAAAAUAUUAUUAUUAUUAGCAAAUAAGCUU